rnacentral:rRNA from 1 species
AUCUGACGUGAUUACCCGUAUAUU